CUCCACCCCUACAGGAAGAGCUCCAGGCAAUUAGCAACCCCUGAGAGAUGGGGAGACAGAUUCUUCCUCAGGGAUGAACCCUUAAUUGGUAGAAAUGGUCAGCCCCAGAAACAUGUACACAUGAGCAACAAAAAAAUGGACCCAGCAGCUUGAUGGAGUUGACAACCCUUGCUACGUGAAUUCAUGGAACUCCUUGGCUGUCCCCUGACUCUCUCCACUUUCAAGGAGUUCCUCUUCACUAAUUCAAAAGGUGUUGGGGUCUACACCAGAGGACGAGUCAGGUCUGUCUCUGCCUGAGGUGCUACUCGCCGAAUGGAGACAGGAGCAAAAGUGACUUCAAUUGUUUUGGCCAGAGCAACCAGAGGAGUGAAAUUACUGUUGGCAGAGAAGGGGAAGACAGCCAGAGAAAAACACUGAGACGUCGGUAGCUAAGAAGGACAAUGGGAACGCCCCUGGGAACCUGAAGAGAAGCAAGAGGAGCCUAUAAAGGAGAUAGCUCGAAAGGAGGCUAUGAAGACAAAGGAGAAUGUCUGAGAUUUCCAUUUGAACUACCACAGUAGCCUCAGCUUUUAAAAGUAUCUCUCACAUCUCUCCAUAACUCUGUUUUCCAUGACUGGUCGGGCCGUACCCACAUUUCUGUCUUGGCAUCACUCGUGUGGGUAUUGCUCUAUAGCGCAGCGCUGAGCGCCGGGGAUGCUGUGUCGGACUCUCAGAACUUAAAUCUUGGUUUCCCGACUUGGUGUCUUCUGGCCCGAGAAGAUUGUUUAAGUUCUCGGCCUCUCUUUGCUCAUCUGAAAAUGAGUAAUUGUCUUUCCCCGCCGUGGGUGUCCUGGGGAUUAUGUAAGAUAACGCAUGUGAAGCAAACAGUAAUUAUUAGAGUUUAUUUUUAUUACCGUCACCCUCUUCAUCCUCCAUGAGGACAUAAGUUUUCCAAGGGACAGCGCUAUUAUGUUUAUCUUGUGGGCCUAAUGAUUUCUUGUAUACCGUAGGUUUUUAAUAAGUGUUUCGAGGGAUAGAGUCCAGAUUCAAACAGUUCUCGGUGUGUUGCAAGUGGCCGGUGGACUUCUCGGAAAAUCACCUCUUCUUGAAAAGCUGGGAACUGAGCACACUGUCUUUGAAGGCACUGUCAAGUGUCAGGACUUGCUAGAUUGGAUUGUGCUGUCCUAAGAUCUUCCCAGGGUGCAUUUAGGAAGCUGGCAGGGAACCUGGAAGCACGAGGAGAUUCACGGCCUUGGAAGUCAGAUGACCGAAGUUCUCAACAGGGUCUGGGGAGAAAUCCAUCGUUCCAGGUCCUUCUGUGUCACAUUCUGGUGACUUGCUUUUUCAAUGCCGUGUAGUCAAACAGAGACACAGCAAAAAAAUUAGUUAGGCAACUCAUUUCUAUUAUUAUUUUAGAGAGGCUUUAUGAAUGGACUAGGCCUUUACUAAGUUGAAUUGCUUUGAAAAUAGUACAGUCAGGACUAGGGUUGUAGCUCAGUGGUAGACAGGUUUAAGAAAAGGAGUUCAGCUGGGCCCUGGUGGCUUAUGCCUUUGAUCCCUGCUUGGGUGGCUGAGGCAGGCUGGUCUCUUGAAUUUGAGGCUAGCCUAGGCUACAAAGCAAGUUCCAGGGCAGCCUGGGUUACAUAGAGUAACCCUGUCUCAAACAAAACAACCAAAAUCAAGCCAAACCAACCAAAUAAUAAUAAUAAUAAUAAAAACCCCAACAACCUGAGUUUGUGGUCAUCAUCAACACCAACACCAACACGGUGCAUUGUUUUUCAGUGGUACAAGCUGAUACUGACUGUAGAAGACUGCAGAAGUUAUUUAGGUUUGGCAGACCGUCCCUUUGGAAGAGCAUUUCCUUUUGUGGAGACAGCAGAACUGACUGUGUUAUUAAAACCCACUGUGAUGAUAAAACACAAUGAAUCAGAGAAAUUAAUAGCCGAGUUAGGCUUGACCAUGGACACAUAGGACACAUGAACUCAUUCUAAGGGAAGCUGUAAUAAUUAUGUAUAAAUAUCUGAAUAAUAACCACACUCCCCAAAUUAUGUGGAAAUUAUACCCCUUUCAAGAAACAGUUCACAUAGCCAUUAUCAACUGAGCCAGCAUGUAGUGGUGGGGACAUAAUAUCUCCACAAAACAUUUCCAGAAAGAGAGAGAGAGAGAGAGAGAGAGAGAGAGAGAGAGAGAGAGAGGCAACUUUCCUUUAUUCACAUUCAGUUGUGAAAUUCAUUAUAUCACAGAAAUAAAAUACCUCAGAGGCACUGGCUCCUGCUCGCUCAGUAAACUAAUCUAUAUUUAGAUGCAAUU
rnacentral:lncRNA from 1 species